rnacentral:rRNA from 1 species
AGAGUUUGAUCCUGGCUCAGGAUGAACGCUAGCGGCAGGCCUAAUACAUGCAAGUCGAGCGGCAAGUUGAGGAGUAAUCCAAGACCUAGAGCGGCGUACGGGUGCGUAACGCGUAUGUAACCUACCCUAUACAGGGGGAUAGCCCGGAGAAAUCUGGAUUAAUACCCCAUGGCACUGCGGAUCAGCAUUGGAUUGCAGUUAAAGAUUUAUCGGUAUAGGAUGGACAUGCGUCUGAUUAGCUAGUUGGGGGUGUAACGGACCACCAAGGCGACGAUCAGUAGGGGUUCUGAGAGGAAGGUCCCCCACACUGGCACUGAGAUACGGGCCAGACUCCUACGGGAGGCAGCAGUAGGGAAUAUUGGGCAAUGGACGAGAGUCUGACCCAGCCAUGCCGCGUGCAGGAAGAAGGCGUUCUGCGUUGUAAACUGCUUUUAUCUGGGAAGAAAAGGCCCAUGCGUGGGACAUUGCCGGUACCAGAUGAAUAAGCACCGGCUAACUCCGUGCCAGCAGCCGCGGUAAUACGGAGGGUGCAAGCGUUGUCCGGAUUUAUUGGGUUUAAAGGGUGCGUAGGCGGCCGAUUAAGUCAGCGGUGAAAGUUUUGGGCUCAACCCAGAAAUUGCCAUUGAUACUGGUCGGCUUGAGUAUUGCAGGGUACAUGGAAUUGAUGGUGUAGCGGUGAAAUGCAUAGAUACCAUCAGGAACACCGAUAGCGAAGGCAUUGUACUGGGCAACCACUGACGCUGAUGCACGAAAGCAUGGGGAGCGAACAGGAUUAGAUACCCUGGUAGUCCAUGCCGUAAACGAUGAUUACUCGCUGUUAUGCUCUAGUAGUGUAGGGGCCAAGCGAAAGCGUUAAGUAUCCACC